CUGCCUUCGAUGGGGAAUAACCUCGCGAAAGCGAGGCUAAUUCCGCAUAACAUUCCGAUGAUCUCGGUCAAUGGAUUCAAAGCCGUAAGGCGUCGAAGGAGGAGCCCGCGCACGAUUAGCUAGUUGGUGAGGUAACGGCUCACCAAGGCUAUGAUCGUUAGCUGGUCUGAGAGGAUGGCCAGCCACACUGGAACUGAGACACGGUCCAG
rnacentral:rRNA from 1 species